rnacentral:lncRNA from 1 species
UUAAUGAAAAUAUCUUUUAUAUUGAUGAAAAUAUGAUAAGAAAGAAAAAAGAUGUGAAUAUCACAUAUCUCUGACAUUAUCGUCUUGAUCAUAUUAGUCAGUCAAGGAUAAACAAGUAGUACAAAGAAGAGUUCUUUGAUCCCUAUGAUUAUGAAUCAUAUAGAACUUGUGAAUCUUAUCUCAUAAGUAAAAUGACCAAAACUCUAUUCUCUGGACAUAAAGAGAGGACA